AGACCGGGUGACCGCCCUCCUUCCGUCGCUGGAAGGAGGGAGGAAAGUCCGGGCUCCUCUGGGCAGGGUGCUGGGUAACUCCCAGGUCCCGAUCACCGGUCAACCGGAAUCGGGGACGGAAAGUGGCACAGAAACAUACCGUCCUUCCAGCGAUGGAAGGAUAAGGGUGAAAUCGGACGGUAAGAGCGUCCGGCCGACUGCGGUGACGCAGCGGCGGCUAAACCCCACCUGGAGCAAGGCCAAAUAGGGGGACUUAGGCGCCCGGCCCGUCCCCGGGUUGGCUGCUUGACCCCGGCGGUAACGCCGUUCC
rnacentral:RNase_P_RNA from 1 species